CUGGAUUGUCCCACUGUGCAGGUCUAAAAGAUGGUCCUGCGAGAAGCUUAAAAGUGGGGCCUGCUGCUGAAUGCCUUUCCUGCCCCACCCCCGCGUGGAGAUCCCCCUAGAUCUGCUCCCCCUUACUGUCCUCUCUGUCAGUUUGCCUACAUGUGUUACUGUUAUGACUUAACCUCAGCCUCACAGUGACUUCACUCUCACUCCAUGACUCAGCUCUGGUAACUUAGAGCUCAGGUGUGGAGGGCCUCCCCACUGACUUUGCAAAUCCUCAACCCUCAAUAACCACAAUCACGUUACAAGUUUAACUCAAGUUCCAUUUAUUAUGUCCCACAGCUUGCCUGGCUUCAAGUAUGUGUAAGUCAUUGGUUUUUGCCCCGAACAGACUCAGCUCUGGGAUAGAUGUCCUGUACAGAGACUAUAUGAUGUCUGGUGCCAUGAUAUAAAGAAUGUGUGUAUAUAGUGCUACAGAACCACAUUGUGCAGUGUGGAGAAGUAUUUCCGGACUGAAGUGUGAAGGUUAGAGUAGGCCUUUAAUCUUACACGAGGGAGGCAGUGGCAGGUGGAUCUCCAUAGAGAAACCCUGUGUUGAAAAAAAAAAAAAAAAAAAAAA